AGUCGACGAUGAAUCUUCUAGCUUGCUAGAAGUGGAUUAGUGGCGCACGGGUGAGUAAUGCAUAGGUUAUGUGCCCUUUAGUCUGGGAUAGCCACUGGAAACGGUGAUUAAUACUGGAUACUCCCUACGGGGGAAAGUUUUUCGCUAAAGGAUCAGCCUAUGUCCUAUCAGCUUGUUGGUGAGGUAAUGGCUCACCAAGGCUAUGACGGGUAUCCGGCCUGAGAGGGUGAUCGGACACACUGGAACUGAGACACGGUCCAGACUCCUACGGGAGGCAGCAGUAGGGAAUAUUGCUCAAUGGGGGAAACCCUGAAGCAGCAACGCCGCGUGGAGGAUGAAGGUUUUAGGAUUGUAAACUCCUUUUGUUAGAGAAGAUUAUGACGGUACCUAACGAAUAAGCACCGGCUAACUCCGUGCCAGCAGCCGCGGUAAUACGGAGGGUGCAAGCGUUACUCGGAAUCACUGGGCGUAAAGAGUGCGUAGGCGGGGUAAUAAGUCAGAUGUGAAAUCCUGUAGCUUAACUACAGAACUGCAUUUGAAACUGUUACUCUGGAGUGUGGGAGAGGUAGGUGGAAUUCUUGGUGUAGGGGUAAAAUCCGUAGAGAUCAAGAGGAAUACUCAUUGCGAAGGCGACCUGCUGGAACAUUACUGACGCUGAUGCACGAAAGCGUGGGGAGCAAACAGGAUUAGAUACCCUGGUAGUCCACGCCCUAAACGAUGGAUGCUAGUUGUUGCCUUGCUUGUCAGGGCAGUAAUGCAGCUAACGCAUUAAGCAUCCCGCCUGGGGAGUACGGUCGCAAGAUUAAAACUCAAAGGAAUAGACGGGGACCCGCACAAGCGGUGGAGCAUGUGGUUUAAUUCGAAGAUACGCGAAGAACCUUACCUAGGC
rnacentral:rRNA from 1 species